UACGGAGGGUGCAAGCGUUGUUCGGAAUCACUGGGCGUAAAGCGCGUGUAGGCGGUCAUCUAAGUCUGGUGUGAAAGCCCGGGGCUCACCCCCGGAAGUGCACUGGAGACUGAAUGGCUUGAGUACCGGAGAGGAGGGUGGAAUUCCUGGUGUAGCGGUGAAAUGCGUAGAUAUCAGGAGGAACACCGGUGGCGAAGGCGGCCCUCUGGACGGCUACUGACGCUGAGACGCGAAAGCGUGGGGAGCAAACAGG
rnacentral:rRNA from 1 species